rnacentral:tRNA from 1 species
GCCGAUGUGAUGGAAUUGGUAGACGUGCUAGACUCAAAAUCUUGUGAGGUUCAACCCUCGUGCCGGUUCGACCCCGGCCAUCGGCA